ensembl:lncRNA novel transcript
AGACAGGGACAGCGUGUAGAGCGUGGCUCCAUCCCAUGCAGGAGGUGCCUGGAGGGCUUGGGACCUGGAAUCACCCAGGCCCUGCCCCGGCCCUGGAGAACCUCAGCAUCACGCGGCAGACCUGGAUGUGGACCCGAAUGAUUCCAAUAUCCUGACAUGGAAGGUGGCAUCGGGUGUGCACACCCUGCCAGGGAGGACGUGGGAGCGCUGCUGUGCCUUGUGUCUGCAGGCACAGGAAAGCCCCCUAGAGGGCGCUUGAUCAAGUCCGGAGACUCGCAUCUGCCUGGCAGAGAAGAUACUGGGUGAGUGCCUGCUGUGAGCCGAGUGCUGUGCUAGGAGCUGGCGGUCAGGGAGGAGCAGGAACGAUGGAUAGAAUGAAUGAGCGCGUGGAGGACUCGGCCUUGUCCAGUUCAGGAAGAACGCAAUCUUGUCAAGUGUUUGUCAUCCAUGUGUUCAUGCACUCAUUAGACAGACAUUUACUGAGGCCUCCUCUAUUUGGGGCACUGCAGUGAACAAAACAGACAAAAGUCUCUGCCCUUGGAGCUUCAAUUCCAGGGAUUAAAAUGAGUAACGAUAACCAUUGUUCUUCUGACGCUUUUUUCAGAGCAACCACAAGGUCUUCAUCUAUGUCUGACUCAUCAACGAAGCAACCAAGACCCCAUGAGCCACUUCAUGAGCUCCAGGGAAUAACCAGCACUCAUGGGCGGAGUCUAAAACUAAUAUAAAUGCUUAGAAAUAAAAAUACAUGAUUUUAUCUCUCCUUUUUCCCCUAAAAUGUUGGUUUCUAAGGAAACGGAAACAUGUUUGACUCUAAAACUUCGAUUUUAGUGUUUAGCAUUGUGAACCCCAAAAUCUGAGACAGGUCUCAGUCAAUUUACGAAGUUUAUUUUGCCCAAGUUAAGGAUGUGUGUCUGUGACACAGCCUCAGAAGUUUUGACCACACGUGCCAAAGGUGGUCAGAGCACAGCUUGGUUUUAUACGUUUUAGGGAGACAUGAGACAUCAAUCAACAUACGUAAGAUGAACAUUGGCUUGGUCCGGAAAGGCGGGGCCUCGGUGACAUCAAUCAACAUAUGCAAGAUGAACAUUGGCUUGGUCCGGAAAGGCAGGGCCUCGGCGACAUCAAUUAACAUAUGUAAGAUGAACAUUGGCUUGGUCCGGAAAGGCGGGGCCUCAGUGACAUCAAUCAACAUAUGCAAGAUGAACAUUGGCUUGGUCCGGAAAGGCAGGGCCUCAGUGACAUCAAUCAACCUAUGUAAGAUGAACAUUGGCUUGGUCCAGAAAGGCAGGGCCUCAGUGACAUCAAUCAACGUAUGUAAGAUGAACACUGGCUUGGUCUGGAAAGGCGGGGCCUCAGUGACAUCAAUCAUCAUAUGCAAGAUGAACAUUGGCUUGGUCCAGAAAGGCGGGACCUCGGUCCAGAAAGGCGGGACAACUUGAAGCCAAGACAGGAAGCAGGAAAGGGGCUUCCAGGUCACAGGUAGAAACAAAUGGUUGCAUCCUUUUGAGUUUCUGAUUAGCCUCUCCAAAGGAGGCAACAAGAGAUGCGUUUAUCUCAGUGAGCAGAAGGGUGACUUUGAAUAGAGUGGGAGGCAGGUUGGCCCUGAGCAAUUCCCAGCUUGACUUUUCCCUUUAGCUUAGUGAUUUUGGAGCCCCAAGAUUUAUUUUCCUUUCACAGCAUGUGGCGGUUCUUUAUUCUCAUAAAUGAUUUCAAAACAUUAUGCACUUGGGGGAUUUUAUAAUGAAAAAUCGCGGUGUCCUAUUAAAGCACAAAGAGGCAAAGCAGAAGCAGCAGACAGGACGUCAAAGAACCAGUGCAUGGCUGCGCCGGGCCCCGGGGCUUCCCACACGGGUUACUGUCAUCCUUCCGAAUCACUGGACUUGAAGCCCAGCAUGUUGCUGAGUUUUGCUCCAGAGACAAUUGCCAUUUGUUAUUUAAGUGACAAAGGUAACGCAUGCCGGCGGGAAGCAAUGCACAAAAUGUGAAGGGAAGUUAGUUUUGGCUGCCAGCAGCUUUGUGGGACACAACCACAAGAAUGGAAGAUACAUGGCCAUUAGGAUUCUCACCUCCGGGACCAGAAGGAUCUAGACUCACUAGCUGUAUAAAUGUAGUCAAGUAAUUUAAACUCUUAAAACUACACAUGUCCUUGUCUAUAAAUUGAGAAUAAUAGUAUAGUUGUGAAGCUUACAUAUUUUAGGUAGAAUGUGAUUGUUGUUCGGCACACAGGAAAUGCUCAAUGCAUGUCAACU